rnacentral:lncRNA from 1 species
UUCUUGUUUAUUUAAUGUAUUAGCUGCAAUUCCAAUCGUAUUGUGUUCUAUUGCAUUCUCUCACACUGUGCUCUAAUAUUUAGUGAAUUAAUUUUCUCCCUUAGCUCGUUGCUGCUGUUUUGUUUUUAGACCCAUCACAGGGUCCCCCUGUGCCAUUUAGUCAAGGAACCAGGUCGAACCAGGCCAGAACUGUGACAGUGCUGUAUCUGAAUAACUGGGUAAAAGGCACAAGGUGCACUGAGCAGGACUUCUGCUCCACCAUACGUUUUUGUUGAGUUUGUAAUAUAGAGCUGGUUGUAUUGAAGUGGAGCUUAAUUGUAACUUUCCUAAAAUCAGAAUGCUGUAAUGUUGUAAUUCCAAAGAUGUUCACUAGAUGUUUCCCAUUUACGAGUAUUUAUAGCUGACCUACUCUUACUGAUUCCUCACUAAUUUUGUAUUUACUUUUUUUCUUUAAAAGAUAUAAUUCUUAGGUGAGAAGAUGAAAAAUUCAUUGUACUCUGCGGAGAAGAAAGACAAUUUUCUUUGUAUGAAUGGCAGAACAGCCCCAUGGCAAGACUUGUCGGAUGAGCUGCAUUUAAGCUACAGCCAACAGUACCUCCUUGCAGGUCCACGCACUGGAGAUAACAGAGGUCCUUGCUGUGAAGAAAGGGGAAUAGAGAUGCAAGGGAAUGAUGCAGCUGAAAAGAAGUACAAUGGCAAACUUUUUUCACAGAACAAUGAUUAAUCAGUUUGCUCUCUUCAAUUUAUGAAUCAUCUGGAAGUGGGCUUUGCCACAGUGUAUGCUCGAUCUGUGAGUUGCUUUUGAGUUAAUUACUAUGACUAUCAGCCUUUCUGUUAAUUUGUAAUGUGUAAUAAUCCAAAUCACCUGUGUGAUAUCUUUUCCUUGGUUCAAAGAUUCAUUAAUCCCACAAAUGACUUUCACUAUAAAUGUGAGUACGCUGAUAUAACUUUCUGUUCACAAAUCUAUGUUCAGAGAAUAGAAGUAGUCCUAUCUUAAUUUUUUUCUGCUUACAAACUGCCAUAGAGUGUGCUUUCAAAUUUACAUGAAAAGAACAUGAACAAUGUAUUGAAGGAGAAUUUACAGACAUACAGAUAUCAUUGUGCAAUAUUUGCCCACGUUUAAAGUGUUUGUAUAAGUACCAAACAUGAGGAAGAAUCAGAAACUCAUUAACAGAAUUUCAUGUACAUUUAAUGUAAACACUAUCUACUAAAGUCUCCAAUUAGGAGAGCAUAACAUGGUUAAUGUAUGUGACUCAGCUGAAUCCCAGUGUUAAACGUGCUGUGAUUAAGUAAUGGAUGGCUUUUGGGAAAUGAAUUGAUGGUCUCAGGCUUGAUCCUG